rnacentral:rRNA from 1 species
UACGUAGGGGGCGAGCGUUGUCCGAAUUUAUUGGGCGUAAAGCGCGUGUAGGCGGCUCUUUAAGUCAGAUGUGAAAUCCUGCGGCUCAACCGCAGAACUGCAUUUGAUACUGGAGAGCUUGAGUGUGGGAGAGGAAAGUGGAAUUCCUGGUGUAGCGGUGAAAUGCGUAGAUAUCAGGAGGAACACCCGUGGCGAAGGCGGCUUUCUGGCCCACCACUGACGCUGAGACGCGAAAGCUAGGGGAGCGAAC